ACAGAUUUGAAACAUGCUUAUGACUAUAUCUAAAUAAUUGAAUAUCAGUGGGACUAUCAGAUAGAUAGGACUUGCAUCUACUAGGUAAGCAGUAAAUCAUGAAUGCUCUGAAAAUUUGAUUGCUCUAAUAUUUAUAUAAAUAUGCUUAGUCAAUCUUGAAAUUUAUCUACAUCUUACUAUCUAAACUUGAGGUUCCAGUAUAUGGUACCUG
rnacentral:lncRNA from 1 species